rnacentral:rRNA from 1 species
UACGUAGGGUGCAAGCGUUGUCCGGAAUUAUUGGGCGUAAAGAGCUCGUAGGCGGUUUGUUGCGUCGGCUGUGAAAUCCCGAGGCUCAACCUCGGGUCUGCAGUCGAUACGAGCAAACUAGAGUGUUGCAGGGGAGACUGGAAUUCCUGGUGUAGCGGUGAAAUGCGCAGAUAUCAGGAGGAACACCGGUGGCGAAGGCGGGUCUCUGGGCAACAACUGACGCUGAGGAGCGGAAAGCGUGGGGAGCGAACAGG